rnacentral:rRNA from 1 species
CCUUAGAUGUUUUGGGCCGCACGCGCGCUACACUGACAGAGCCAGCGAGUUUUUCACCUUGGCCGGAAGGUCUGGGUAAUCUUGUGAAACUCUGUCGUGCUGGGGAUAGAGCAUUGCAAUUAUUGCUCUUCAACGAGGAAUUCCUAGUAAGCGUGAGUCAUCAGCUCGCGUUGAUUACGUCCCCUGCCCCUGACAACCGCCC